GAUGAACGCUGACAGAAUGCUUAACACAUGCAAGUCCACUUGAACUUCGGUUUGGGUGGCGGACGGGUGAGUAACGCGUAAAGAACAUGCCUCACAGAUAGGGACAACAUUUGGAAACGAAUGCUAAUACCUGAUAUUAUGAUUAUAUGGCAUCGUAUAAUUAUGAAAGCUAUAUGCGCUGUGAGAGAGCUUUGCGUCCCAUUAGCUAGUUGGAGAGGUAACGGCUCACCAAGGCGAUGAUGGGUAGCCGGCCUGAGAGGGUGAUCGGCCACAAGGGGACUGAGACACGGCCCUUACUCCUACGGGAGGCAGCAGUGGGGAAUAUUGGACAAUGGACCAAGAGUCUGAUCCAGCAAUUCUGUGUGCACGAUGAAGUUUUUCGGAAUGUAAAGUGCUUUCAGUUGGGAAGAAAAAAAUGACGGUACCAACAGAAGAAGUGACGGCUAAAUACGUG
rnacentral:rRNA from 1 species